UGCAGUCGAGCGACGGACGAGAAGCUUGCUUCUCUGAUGUUAGCGGCGGACGGGUGAGUAACACGUGGAUAACCUACCUAUAAGACUGGGAUAACUUCGGGAAACCGGAGCUAAUACCGGAUAAUAUUUUGAACCGCAUGGUUCAAAAGUGAAAGACGGUCUUGCUGUCACUUAUAGAUGGAUCCGCGCUGCAUUAGCUAGUUGGUAAGGUAACGGCUUACCAAGGCAACGAUGCAUAGCCGACCUGAGAGGGUGAUCGGCCACACUGGAACUGAGACACGGUCCAGACUCCUACGGGAGGCAGCAGUAGGGAAUCUUCCGCAAUGGGCGAAAGCCUGACGGAGCAACGCCGCGUGAGUGAUGAAGGUCUUCGGAUCGUAAAACUCUGUUAUUAGGGAAAAACAUAUGUGUAAGUAACUGUGCACAUCUUGACGGUACCUAAUCAAAAA
rnacentral:rRNA from 1 species